rnacentral:rRNA from 1 species
GGAAUAUUGCGCAAUGGACGAAAGUCUGACGCAGCGACGCCUCGUGAGGGACGGAGGUCUUCGGAUUGUAAACCUCUUUCAGCAGGGACGAAGCGAAAGUGACGGUACCUGCAGAAGAAGCACCGGCUAACUAUGUGCCAGCAGCCGCGGUAAUACAUAGGGUGCAAGCGUUGUCCGGAUUUAUUGGGCGUAAAGAGUUCGUAGGCGGUUUCUCGCGUCGGAUGUGAAAACUCAGGGCUCAACCCUGAGCCUGCAUUCGAUACGGGGAAACUUGAGGACGGCAGGGGAGACUGGAACUCCUGGUGUAGCGGUGGAAUGCGCAGAUAUCAGGAAGAACACCAAUGGCGAAGGCAGGUCUCUGGGCCGAUUCUGACGCUGAGGAACGAAAGCGUGGGGAGCAAACAGGAUUAGAUACCCUGGUAGUCCACGCCGUAAACGAUGGACGCUAGGUGUGGGGAACAUUCCACGUUCUCUGCGCCGCAGCUAACGCAUUAAGCGUCCCGCCUGGGGAGUACGACCGCAAGGUUAAAACUCAAAUGAAUUGACGG